rnacentral:rRNA from 1 species
GAUAAACGCUGGCGGCGUGCCUAAUGCAUGCAAGUCGCACGGGAACCCAUUUAUGGGUCGACCGUGGCGGACGGGUGAGGAACACGUAGCUAACCUGCCCAACAGAGGGGGAUAACCUCGGGAACCGAGGCUAAUACCGCAUACGCUCGUGUGAAGGGAUUCGCAUGAGGAAAUGGAGCAAUCCGCUGAUGGAGGGGGCUGCGGCCGAUUAGCUAGUUGGUGGGGUAAAAGCCUACCAAGGCGGUGAUCGGUAGCUGGUCUGAGAGGACGAUCAGCCACACGGGGACUGAGACACGGCCCCGACUCCUACGGGAGGCAGCAGCAAGGAAUUUU